AAAAAAAAUCUCUCGAGAGCGAAUGUAGUAUACCUAAGCUACCCCAUAGCCCUUUCGUGACCGGCUGACACAAUCGUGAGCUCAUGUUUAUGUGGGUAUCAAUAUGAAAAUAAACAUAUUUUUACUAGGAAAGAUGAUAUCAAUAUGUUGUGUCUAUCGUGUAUUAUCAGAGUAACUGAAAUUAUUUAACUAAUUCACGCUUAGUAUGCAAUAGAAUACCCUAUAAAGAAGGCUGUGUAUUUUGACGACAAAACUGAUAAAGGUGUGCCUCUCACCCACGAUUUGGCUCUAGAGGUGUUAAAUGAGGGUAACUAGUCCGAAAUAGAAGAUUUAGAUGGCGAAAAUGAUGUUGCUUUUGACGUUCAGAUGUUUAAAAAUAACACCGAUGACAAGGAUAUUGAAGAAACUGUAUUAGAUGAAGAACCUGUAUUGGAUGAAGAACCUGUUCCUUCAAGGAGCUCUUCUUCAGCAAAGAGGCAAUGGAAAGACAUGAAAUUUCAGCAAAAAAUGUUUGUUCUAUUUUAGUUAGUAUGUAAUAGCAUAUUAAACAAUUAUAAAAAUAACUUUUAUUUGGCCCUAA
rnacentral:lncRNA from 1 species